rnacentral:ncRNA from 1 species
UUUUCUUCAGGAUAGUUGGAGUCCGAUAUAAAGCUGUUGUUUUCGAUAAGCGAAUGAUCAGAAGAAUUGUGAAACGAAACAUCUUCAACCUAUGCUUAAAUUUUCAAUGAGUAUGACGUCAAGCUUGCUUGAAUGAAAUUGUAAACAAUGAAUGUACAUUCCAAGUGGGUUAUUUUCGAUGAGCAGAACUGGCGUUGUGGGAUGAAUCA